AUUGAACGCUGGCGGCAGGCUUAACACAUGCAAGUCGAGCGGAGAUGAGGUGCUUGCACCUUAUCUUAGCGGCGGACGGGUGAGUAAUGCUUAGGAAUCUGCCUAUUAGUGGGGGACAACAUUCCGAAAGGAAUGCUAAUACCGCAUACGUCCUACGGGAGAAAGCAGGGGAUCUUCGGACCUUGCGCUAAUAGAUGAGCCUAAGUCGGAUUAGCGAGUUGGUGGGGUAAAGGCCUACCAAGGCGACGAUCUGUAGCGGGUUUGAGAGGAUGAUCCGCCACACUGGGACUGGGACACGGCCCAGACUCCUACGGGAGGCAGCAGUGGGGAAUAUUGGACAAUGGGGGGAACCCUGAUCCAGCCAUGCCGCGUGUGUGAAGAAGGCCUUAUGGUUGUAAAGCACUUUAAGCGAGGAGGAGGCUACUGAGACUAAUACUCUUGGAUAGUGGACGUUACUCGCAGAAUAAGCACCGGCUAACUCUGUGCCAGCCGCCGCCGUAAGAC
rnacentral:rRNA from 1 species